UACGACUACAUAUCAGGCAUAUCAAUAAGCGGAGGAAAAGAAACUAACUAGGAUUCCCUUAGUAACGGUGAGUGAAGCGGGAAGAGCUCAAAUUUGAAAUCUUAAAGGUUUUACCUUGACGAAUUGUAGUUUAAAGAAGUGUUUUCUGCUAGUGGAGUUCGGUAAAAGUUCUUUGGAAUAGGACAUCAUAGAGGGUGAGAAUCCCGUAUUUGGUCAUUCCUCCUAGCGUUGUGAUACACUUUCAACGAGUCGGAUUGUUUGGGAAUGCAGUCCAAAAUGGGUGGUAAAUUUCAUCUAAAGCUAAAUAUUGGCGAGAGACCGAUAGCGAACAAGUACCGUGAGGGAAAGAUGAAAAGAACUUUGAAAAGAGAGUUAAACAGUACGUGAAAUUGUCAAAAGGGAAGCGUUUGACACCAGUGUUGUUUUUCCGAAAAUCAAUUACGAAUGUUUUGUUUUUGAGGAGUUAUGACUUCAUCGGCUUGCUCCUUUCUUUACGAAACUUUCUUAAUGCACUUUUCGGUUAACAAGUCAACAUCAAUUUCUUUUGUUGUAAAAGGGUAUGAGGAAGGUGGCUUUCUUUUCGGAGAAAGUGUUUAUAGCCUUGUAGCCUCUGCAAUCGGAGAGAUUGAGGUCUGCAGCGUAGAUCCUUCAGGGGUUAGAUACAUUUGUGCUAAGUUAUAGCUUUUACAUAGACAACAUUGUUGACUAUGAUUUAAGUCAUUGUAGCUUACUCGCUUAUGCUAUUUUACCUACGCUUAGGAUGUUGAACGCGCACAGAGUCUC
rnacentral:rRNA from 1 species